rnacentral:rRNA from 1 species
UGAGGAAUAUUGGUCAAUGGGCGCGAGCCUGAACCAGCCAAGUCGCGUGAGGGAUGACGGCCCUACGGGUUGUAAACCUCUUUUGUCGGGGAGCAAAUUCCGCCACGUGUGGCGGAGUCGAGAGUACCCGAGAAAAGCAUCGGCUAACUCCGUGCC